rnacentral:misc_RNA from 1 species
UUUUUUUUUCUAAUUUGAUCCGAUAUACAAAGGCCUCGUCAUUGCCGUACUAGCGGCUGCCUACUGGUCUUUAAUAAAUCUAAAUAUAAAAGACCUCAAUACCCUAAAUAAAUAAAUAAAAUCAGGCCUGUAGAUAUUAUAUUUGAGAUUCGUUGUCCAAAUAUUAUUAUCCUAAAAAAACAGAAAACGUAAGAUCAAGAUGGCUCCCACCUAAAUUAACGCAUUAGCAUGUGGUAUUAGAUUAACCUCACGACAUAAUUUGAUAAUCGAAAGUCUAUAAGUAGGCCAAACCGACCACGACAAAGCCUGAUGGAGACGCCAAUUGCUCGCCAGUCAGUCUCGAGCCCACCUUCCACUCAAAAAAACUCCAAGACAAAUCAAACCAUCACACCCGAAAUUAUCACUUAGGGACAUAUUUGUCCGUUUAAUUGGAAAGGUCCCCUUCAGAAAAACCACUAUUUAG